GGCAGUGGUGGCAGCAGCAGCAUCCUGGGGCCUGGCUACAUGGUGGUGAUGGCCACAGUGUCCCCCAGAUGUUCCAGCAGCAUGGUUUUCAUCGUGGUCUUGGCUAUCCAGCUGCUACCUUUGGUGCCUGCGUGAUUUCUGGGUCCAGUCUUCAAGAUAUUCUGUGAGCUAAUCAAUACCCUUCCAUUAGGUUUUUUGUUUUUUUGUGUUUUUUUUUGCCAUAAUCAGAGCCUGUUUCUUCUGCUUGCAACUGCGAAUGGACUAAUACAGAGUCUUUGAAGGGUAUGGGCAGGGAGAAAUGAUGGGACCUGGCUUGUACUUUGAAGAAGUCCUAUAGGCUGCUAUGUGGCCACGAUAGUAGAGCACAGCUACAGCAAAUCAUGAAGUCUUCAUCAGUCAGACACCAGCGUCAUGCUCUUGGCCUUGCCAGCUUCCAGAACCAUCUGCUCAGCUUGCUGUCCCUGGGAGACAACCACAGGAGUUGUUUAGGAGACACCGGGCUACUUCAGCCUGGAGCUCCAGGAGGAGGUCUGCAUUGGUCGUUGGGACAAUAGGACCAGGACAUGGCAGGCUGCAGGACCCCAGUUGCACCAAACUGCCAUCCCCUCCUGCCUGGUUUCCCUUCUUCAUGAACCGAUCAAUGGGCCAUAGCCAGGUUGGGAUGCAUGUCUUCCACAGGAUGGGAACUACCUCCAGCUGAUCAGUUAACAGUUCAGUUGGGGACCUUUGAGUAAAAUAGAUGACCCUCUAUUAGGUGGUUGGGCCUCUUCCAAUCAGUUGACAGCCUACAGAGAACAAAGACUGAUCUCCCCCCAGCAAGAAGGAAU
rnacentral:lncRNA from 1 species